UUAGAUAUAAUUGACUGUAAUGCAUUAGGAUGCAGCUCAGGGUUUUGCUGGUGUAAUGACACUGAUUGCUGCCAAACAUUAUCAUUUAAUUGUAAUUGCAACAACGGUCGUUGUUCCAGAAAUGGUCCAAACAUACAAUGUUGCGAUCCACAGUGUGUUGCUGGUUGCAGUGGAGGUGGUAAUAAUGAUCAAUGUAGGGCUUGUAAGAAUGUUUUGAAUGAUGGUGUGUGCCGAGAGAGGUGCCCUGAUCAAUUUAUA